rnacentral:lncRNA from 1 species
AACAUAUAGACUUUCCUGCCUGGAGCAAUUUGCAAAGUUGGAACAUUAAGUCAAGUAAUGGAAUCUCUGAGUCCUUCCAUCACCCUUUACAAGCAUGACUGGCAUCCUAAAACCUGACUAACUGGAGCGUCUGACUGAAGAGAUCACAGAAUGAUCCAUGUUGUCAAACACUGGCAGAUC